rnacentral:rRNA from 1 species
UUCCGGUUGAUCCCGCCGGAGGCUACCGCUAUUGGAGUUCGAUUAAGCCAUGCGAGUCGCGAGUCUUAGGGACUCGGCGUACCGCUCAGUAACACGUGGGUAACCUGCGCUAUGCUGGGGGAUAACCUCGGGAAACUGAGAAUAAUACCCCAUAGUUCACCACGCCUGGAACGGUGGGUGGACCAAAGCUCCGGCGGCAUAGGAUGGGCCUGCGGCGUAUCAGGUUGUAGGGGGUGUAAUGUACCCUCUAGCCCUCUACGCGUACGGGUGUUGAGAGACAUCGCCCGGAGAUGGAUUCUGAGACACGAAUCCAGACCCUACGGGGUGCAGCAGGCGCGAAAACUUGGCAAUGCGAGAAAUCGUGGCCAGGGAACUCCAAGUGCAUCGGGUAAGACCGAUGCUUUUCUUGACUCUUCAAAGGUCUUGGAAUAAGGGGUGGGUAAGGACGGUGCCAGCCGCCGCGGUAAUACCGGCGCCCCAAGUGGUAGUCGCUUUUAUUGGGCCUAAAACGUCCGUAGCCGGUCUGGUACAUUCGUGGGUAAAUCAACCAGCUCAACUGGUUGAAUUCUGCGAGCACGGCCAGACUUGGGACCGGGAGAGGCGUGGGGUACUCUCAGGGUAGGGGUAAAAUCCUGUCAUCCUGAGAGGACCACCUGUUGCGAAGGCGCCACACUAGAACGGAUCCGACGGUCAGGGACGAAGCCUAGGGGCACGAACCGGAUUAGAUACCCGGGUAGUCCUAGGUGUAAACGCUGUGGACUUGAUGUUGGGGGCGCUCCGAGCGCACUCAGUGUCGAAGCGAAGGUGAUAAGUCCACUGCCUGGGGAGUACGGUCGCAAGGCUGAAACUUAAAGGAAUUGGCGGGGGAGCACCGCAACCUGAGGAUUGUGCGGUUUAAUUGGAUUCAACGCCGG